rnacentral:rRNA from 1 species
AUUGAACGCUGGCGGCAUGCCUUACACAUGCAAGUCGAACGGUAACAGGUCUUCGGAUGCUGACGAGUGGCGAACGGGUGAGUAAUACAUCGGAACGUGCCCGAUCGUGGGGGAUAACGAAGCGAAAGCUUUGCUAAUACCGCAUACGAUCUACGGAUGAAAGCAGGGGACCGCAAGGCCUUGCGCGAACGGAGCGGCCGAUGGCAGAUUAGGUAGUUGGUGGGAUAAAAGCUUACCAAGCCGACGAUCUGUAGCUGGUCUGAGAGGACGACCAGCCACACUGGGACUGAGACACGGCCCAGGCUCCUACGGGAGGCAGCAGUGGGGAAUUUUGGACAAUGGGCGAAAGCCUGAUCCAGCCAUGCCGCGUGCAAGAUGAAGGCCUUCGGGUUGUAAACUGCUUUUGUACGGAACGAAAAGACUCUGGUUAAUACCUGGGGUCCAUGACGGUACCGUAAGAAUAAGCACCGGCUAACUACGUGCCAGCCGCCGCCGUAA